rnacentral:tRNA from 1 species
CUAAGGAAGAUGUUUAGUAUUGUUAGAUUUAUUUAAUGAUCUGAGCAUUUUUUAAAGAAUUAGAGCGAUAAGCUCAAGAAAAGAAUUUGUUAAUUUUAGCAAGUUCUAAGGGAUCGCCGUCCAUGUUUCUCUUUCUUUUUGAAUAAUUUUGCGGUUGAUGGGGUCAUUUGAGUUUAUGUUAAGGGCCCAUAGCUCAGGCGGUUAGAGUGCACCCCUGAUAAGGGUGAGGUCGGUAGUUCGAAUCUACCUGGGCCCACCAUUCAAUCAGGCAAGGGGCCGUAGCUCAGCUGGGAGAGCGCCUGCUUUGCAAGCAGGAUGUCAGCGGUUCGAUCCCGCUCGGCUCCACCAAUUGCGAAUUUAUAGUUUUUUUGUUCUAGGGAUUUUUUUUUAGAGCAAUAGUUUUUUGAAAAUUGAAUAGAAGGUAGAUUUUUUUGUAUUUUUUAUAUUGGCAUUGUAUGCGAUAUGGGAGGUACCGACGUUGUAUAACCGCACGUUGAAGAUUUAUCUCAGGAAAUUGGUCUAUUGAAAGAGCAUAAUUUAUUUAUGUUUUUUUAAUUAAGAAACGUUUGUAAUGAACU